rnacentral:rRNA from 1 species
UACGUAGGAGGCGAGCGUUGUCCGGAGUUACUGGGCGUAAAGCGCGCGCAGGCGGUCAGAUUAGUCUGUCGUGACAGUCGUCGGCUCAACUGACGAAGUACGAUGGAAACUGUCUGACUUGAGGGCUUCAGAGGGACACGGAAUUCCGGGUGGAGUGGUGAAAUGCGUAGAUAUCCGGAGGAACACCAAAGGCGAAGGCAGUGUCCUGGGAAGUACCGUGACGCUCAGGUGCGAAAGCUAGGGGAGCGAACAGG